GAGAGCGUGUGUUUGUUUCUGCUUGACAAGUGGUUCCUGAAUUGUGCCCAGCCAGACUGUGGCAUCGGUGAACACAGCAUUGCUGGAGCCCACAGCUCACAUCAGAGCUCACCGCUGAUCUUGCCAUGCUACAGAUCUAGACAAAUAUGUAAUGACACACAUCUGUCGUUGUAGCAGCAGGCAGAGUACUUUCACCUCCUCUGUGCCCUGCCUGUUCACCCUCCCUUCCCCUGAGUCACUGGAGAUGGCUGAUCUCUUUACUGUCUCCAUGGUUUUGAGUUUUCCAGGAACUCAGCCAGCAUGUCGGCUUUUCACGUGAGUAAAACGCACACUGAAAUUUCCUCCAUCUCCUUUUAUGACUCAGAAGCUCACUUCCUUUUAGGGCUGAAUAGUACUCCAUUGUCUGGAUGGACCACAAUUUACCUGUCACUCACCUACUGAAAGACACCUUGGUGGUUUCCAGGGUUUGACAAUCAUGAAAUAAACUGCUAGCAACAUCCUGAUCAAGUGUUUGUGUGCCCACAAAGUGGCGGCGCUACACUGGUGAACACGGAGAUGGAGUCCAGCCAGCCUUCCUCCUCCAGACUCAGCAUCUCAGCCACUCCAAACCCACCUCGAAAAUGGACCAAACCAAUGCAAGCCUUCAGAGGAGACGCCAAGCAGGAGCGUCAUGCCUUGCACCUGGACACCAGAGGGCGCUGCGGCACCAGCUCAUUCCCAGAAGGCUCCAGACGGGACCCAGCUGCCAGGGUACUCAUGCAACAGACCCAGGGGUGGAGGCAACAAGAAAGGGGACC